rnacentral:lncRNA from 1 species
GAGACUUUCUCUCUUUUUCUUUUUUUCGCUUCGGCGAGCUCCAUCACCUCCGUCGUACCACACCACCACCACCCGUCCCUUUCUAGUUUUCUAAACCUCAUCAUCCUCACUCUCUCAACUAUGUGCCCACUGCAAAGAAACAUGAAUAGUAUUCAUCACCAUUUUCUCCGGAGGGUGUACUUAGAAUCCAACAAAACUAAGGUGAGCCUCGAGACCCUCAAAUCCUUCUUAUUUUAAAGCUCUUAUGUUGUUUUAACUUUAAAAACAAGUUUGGGGGACGAUUUGAUGCAAAAACACACGGGGAGAAAAUUCCCAUAUUUUUUUACGGCUUUCGAGCCGUUUUUCGAUCACCUCCGGCCACAGCCGAGGAAACCAAAGGUAUAUUUCGAUUCCUUGUUCUCUGAGCUUCGAUUUGAUAUAUUGGAAGGCUAGGUUUACUUAAGUUUUUGGUGUGGUCGGAACUGGGUAGAAUCCGGCGGAUGCAAUGGCAACCAACCGGAGUAGAAAAAGGAAGGAAGAAAAAAAAAAACAAAAAGGGCCGAAGCCCAAACUGGGCCCAAAACCCGGUCCAAGUCCUUGUCCCAAACCUUUAGCCUAAUAGGCCCAAACCUUUGGGUUGAUGUUUCAACCUAGCCCAGUUCCAAAAUGCGCUUAGAAUAUUAUGGGAAUAUUCCUUAGGUUGACUUUUUAGAAAUUUUCUCGGAAACCCUCAUGGGCUAAUUUUGAUGCCCCAAGUCCGUUUUUACAUUCAUUUAGUGAAAUUCCAAAUUUUUAACGUAGUUGACUGCCGAAGACUUUUAGGGUUGACCGUUGACGUUUUACAAAAUUUGCCAGGGACCCCUCUUAGCGUAAUUCGACGCUCUGAUUUCAAAUUCGCACUCCAUUUUUUCAAAUUUAAUCAUUUUAGCUAAUUUUUACUAUUGAGUCCCAAUAUUAUGCAUAUGUGCUAUUACUAUUGGAGACUCCGGCUUUUCACGUCCGAACAACUGCGACCUCGCAAGUAACUGUGAGUGGGCCCUUUCUUUAAUAUAUAUAUAUAUAUAUAUAUAUAUUGGUUAGUUUCCAUAUAUACAAUUAUUAAUAAAUUCUCUACGUGAUUGCCAUGAUUAAACUUACGUUUAUAAGAAAUGCCUUAUUGUUGGGAACUGGUGAAGUAAUCCUACAGGAUGCACCGGUAAUCUUUUGAUGAGGGGAUGCCUUAAUUAUAUUUAUGGUCAUGAUUAGUAUGAUAUUGACUAGAAUUGUUGAAUGGUUGUGGCAUGAUUAUAAUUAUGUUAUUUGUUCAUCAUUUGCUGCAACGGUGUUGGUGCUCACCCGGGCCAUGACCAGUCUUUCACGUGUAUGUGCACAUCGCACCGUUCACUCACUAUGGAUCCAUUGUAGGUGCUAGUUAAUCCCAUCUUCAUUUUGACAUGUUGUGUUACAAAUGGUUAAGAUUUAAUGUCGAUCUGCUUCUGUUGUGAAUCCAAAUAGGUAUUGAUUUGAAUUUUUGAUUCCGUUUGUGGUAAUUUGAGAUGGAAUGUGGAAGUGGUUUGAAUUAUGGUGUAUGAUGACUAUACUUAAAUUACAUGACUCUAGAUUAACAUUCUAUCUACUUAUUUCAUGAAUACAAUUGUUAAGAAUGAGUUUUCAAAUUUGUCGGUGAUAUUAUGAACUUAUUCACAUCAUUUUAGAGUAAAUACUAUUAGAAGUAUUCAGAUCAAAUGGCUACAAAAGAGACAUGUGUCUUUUUGGGUGUUCAUGUUAUCCUUGGUUACGACCAUACACUAGCACAAAAUUAGAACCCAGAACAACAAAAUGUGUCUUUUUGGGGUAUGCAUCUAAAUAUAAAGGGUAUCUCUGUUAUGCUGUGUCUAGAAAGAAAGUUUAUGUGUCCCGACAUGUGAUUUUUGAUGAAACUGAGUUUCCUUAUCAAUCCUUGUUUCUAAAGUCUCCACCUAUGAAUUCUGCACCAUUACCAUCACUCAUAUCACCCCAUGUUCCAAUCCCUGAUCAUAAUAAUGUUCUUGUUUUACCAACAACCCCGUGUUCAUCCAUACCUGGUCUUUCUCCUGGCUGCACACAUCUACGUUCUGAUACUACCCUAUGUCCUAUGUCACUGCCUAAUGUCCAUCAAUCCUCUGCCGAGCUCAAUGCAAUACCAGUUGCAGUUCCAAGUUCAACCUCAGAGGGCUCAAGUUUUGAUCAAUCCAUUGGUGCAGCACAUACACAAUCCUUGUCCUCCACACUCCCUGUGGUACCUGAAUUCCAAUAUGAAAAUCUACAAGUGGUUUUGUCUAUACCACCCCUCAAUCUUCACCCUAUGCAAACAAGAUCAAAGAGUGGCAUUUCCAAGGCCAUUGCUCUUUUAGCUGCUGUACAUGAACAUGGAGGAGUUGAUUUGAGUCAAGUUGAGCCGGCAACCUAUAAAUCUGCAUUAAAGUCACCAGUGUGGUAUGAGACUAUGCAAGAUGAGAUUUCGGCAUUGCAUAAACAAGGUACAUGGUCUCUGGUACCUUUACCUAAACAUAAGAACUUAGUAGGCUGCAAAUGGGUCUUCAAGAUAAAAAAGAAUGCGGAUGGUUCUAUUGGGAGAUAUAAGGCGAGACUUGUAGCUAAAGGGUUUAAUCAAGAAGAAGAUAUUGACUAUAGAGAGACAUUUAGUCCUGUUGUCAAACCCACAACUGUGAGAUUGGUUCUCGCUUUAUCUGCUCAUUUUGGGUGGUCCCUGCGGCAAUUGGAUGUGAAAAAUGCCUUUCUUCAUGGCAUUUUGCAAGAGGAGGUCUACAUGACUCAACCACCUGGAUUUGGGGAUUCAAAACAUGAAGAUUAUGUCUGCCGGUUACAUAAAUCUUUGUAUGGCUUAAAACAGGCCCCAAGGGCGUGGAAUGAGAGAUUCACUAGCUUUCUACCAUCUUUGGGGUUCACUUCUACAUAUGCCGAUUCCUCUUUAUUUGUCAAAACUGUGGAUACCUCUGUUGUGAUUUUGCUUUUAUAUGUUGAUGAUAUCAUCAUCACAGGAAGUGCAACACAUGCUAUUCAUGCAGUGAUUCAAUCUUUAACUCAGGAAUUUGAUAUCAAAGACUUGGGACCUCUUCACUACUUUCUGGGAAUCCAAAUUGUGCAUAAAGAGGAUGGUUUGUUCUUAUCUCAGGAUAAAUAUGUCACAGAUUUAUUAACAAAAUCUAAAAUGUUGCUAUCCAAACCAUGUGCUACACCAUGUUUGCCCUACAAUCGGCUGCUCAAAGAUGAUGGCAAGCCUUAUAAUAAUCCUACUCUAUACAGAAGCUUGGUUGGUGCUCUCCAGUAUUUGACAUUUACUAGACCUGAUAUCUCUUUUGCAGUCCAUCAUGUUUGUCAGUUUAUGCAGUGUCCAAUGGAGUCGCAUUUUGUGGUUGUUAAGUGGUUGUUAAGCGCAUUCUCAGAUACUUAAGAGCUACACAGGGUUGUGGUAUUCAUUAUAUCAAAGGGUCAUUAGAGAUUACUGCUUAUAGUGAUGCAGACUGGGCUAGGGACCCUAAUGAUAGACGGUCAACUACUGGACUGGUUGUUUUUCUGGGGUCUAAUCCAAUUUCUUGGUCCUCUAAGAAGCAACACACGGUCUCCCGGUCAUCUACUGAAGCCGAGUAUCGUGCUUUAUCUACAACUGCAGCUGAACUUGAUUGGAUUAAACAAUUGCUAGUAUUUCUUCACCUUCCAAUAUCUGUGCAACCUGUUUUGUUCUGUGACAAUUUAUCAGCAAUUGCUCUUACCUGUAAUCCAGUUCAGCAUCAAAGAACUAAGCACAUUGAGAUUGACGUGCACUUUGUUCGAGAAAGGGUUGCUAGACAUGACCUUCAAGUUCAUUUUGUUUCUUCGAAUGAGCAAUUCGCUGACAUCCUUACAAAAGGUCUAUCUGCACCUCUUUUUCAAACCCAUUGUGCCAAUCUCAGGCUCUGUUUUACUGCCCCUGAGCUUGUGGGGGGAUGUUAGAAGUAUUCAGAUCAAAUGGCUACAAAAGAGACAUGUGUCAAGAGAUCAAGAUAAGAGUUAGUUUGUUAAAGAUUGUAGCUUAGAGAGCAAGCUAUGAUUACUGAUAUAUACUGUUAGUUGUAAACUGUUGUAACUAGAAAAACAAUAUUCAAAUAUAGAAAUAUAAUCUUGCUCUCUCUCUCUCUCUAUCUCUCUCUCUAAAUCUUUUCUACUUUCUUCUUCUUCCUCUGCUAUCUUGCUGAUAUUCUUUCCUGCAUAUUACUUAACAAAUACAUGUACUUUGAUAUUCAUGUAUUUUUCCUUUCAUUUUCGUUGGUCUUAUAGCUCGUGUGGUUUCUUUAUCUUUGAAUUUGGUUUUUAUUCAUAACCUUGGCAGAAAGAGGCCCAGAUUCCACAUAGACCGUCCGAUUAAUGUAUUUGUGGAACAGCAAGAUGGGAUAAAGUGAAAAGCAUUCUGGGAAUGAUGCAAUUGUUCAGAAAUGCUUGUUUUCAAUAUUUUUUUUUCAAUUGAGGAUAAGAUAUGUAAAAUUAUAGUUUGUUAAUAUAUAUUUUGAUGGAUGGUUUUGAAUAUUUUUGUAAAUUAUAAUAUUCUAGAUGCUUAUGGUUGUGGGCUGUGUUGAUUUUACAAAAAAAAAAAAAAAAAAAUUGUUUAGACUCAGUUUCAAUUUGUAGGCUAUUUUUAUUUUUUAGUUUUUAUAAUUUAUAUUUUUGUUAGUAUUUUAACUUAGAGGGACGGCACAAUUACUAAAAUUGCUGCUUAUAAAUUGGUAUCCUUAAACCUCAUAGGGCACAAAUAAAUUUUUGUGCACAUUGUCCAUAUUUUUUGUAGUGUGAGUUGGUUCAACUGGAUUAGUUGAUUCUUCUUUUAGGUUAAAUACAAGUGAAAUAUUGGAAGGGAUUCAGUGAUGAACCUCGAUUUCAAAUAAACACUAUGAAUCACUUGAAUUACAAGUUAUUUAUUUUAUGUCUUUCACGAAAAAAGAUAGAAAUUAAUAUAAUGAAAGUAAACGCUUUAUCAACAUAAACACUAAUUGAAUGAACACGUAUGGAAAUUCCUACGCACACAUACUAAUUUUACAUCUAUCAUGUGGACCACGGGAUCUCAAUUUUCUCAAAUUACACUAUACAAAGUUUUAAAAUCGUAUGAAUAUAUGUCUUCAAUUUGUUUUGACUGUAAGAUCCUCGU